UACGAGUACUGUUUUUGUUUCUUUUUUCUAUUUGUUUUUGAUCUCUGGUUCCAAGUUUGCACCCUCUUCUGUUGAAAGCCUUGAAUUGGCUGUGAAAGUGUUGCAGACAAUAACCAUGUGAGAACUAAGUUGGUUGUUUGAUGUUCGCCUGUUUUGAGUUGCAUUACCUCGAUAAGAAAAAAAAAAUCUUGAUUUAAUGUGUAAAAAAAACAGUACUCG
rnacentral:misc_RNA from 1 species